rnacentral:rRNA from 1 species
GACGAACGCUGGCGGCGUGCUUAACACAUGCAAGUCGAACGGAAAGGCCCUGCUUUUGUGGGGUGCUCGAGUGGCGAACGGGUGAGUAACACGUGAGUAACCUGCCCUUGACUUUGGGAUAACUUCAGGAAACUGGGGCUAAUACCGGAUAGGAGCUCCUGCUGCAUGGUGGGGGUUGGAAAGUUUCGGCGGUCGGGGAUGGACUCGCGGCUUAUCAGCUUGUUGGUGGGAUAGUGGCUUACCAAGGCUUUGACGGGUAGCCGGCCUGAGAGGGUGACCGGCCACAUUGGGACUGAGAUACGGCCCAGACUCCUACGGGAGGCAGCAGUGGGGAAUAUUGCACAAUGGGCGGAAGCCUGAUGCAGCAACCCCGCGUGCGGGAUGACGGCCUUCGGGUUGUAAACCGCUUUCGCCUGUGACGAAGCGUGAGUGACGGUAAUGGGUAAAGAAGCACCGGCUAACUACGUG